rnacentral:lncRNA from 1 species
AGUCUCUGCUUCAUUUGAAAAAUAUCUGCUAUAAAAUGGGAGACUAACGUUUUUGUUUUGUUUUGUUUUCAAAUGGUCACCCCAAAUUGAAAGAUGUUUUUUUCCUUUCUCCAUUGAUUUGUAAUGCCAGUUAUACAAUCUUGGGUAAAUCACAGAAUACUUCAACUUCAAAAGGGGAUUAGUGCAAGUCUUUCCAUUUCUGAGAGCAAAUGUGUUAACAUAUAUAAAACUUGGAAAAUACUUUAAGCAAUCUAUGAGUGUUAGCUUUCACUAGCAUUUAUUAUUCUCAACCACCUAUUUAACUUUAGAAUAACUAGAAAGUUUGAGAUAUUUGUGAGUUUUGUUGGAAAGGCAUAGGAUUUACAAACUAAGUUGGAAAGAACUAAUGUUUACAAUAUUCAUGGAAUGGGCAUAUCUCCAGUUAUGAAGAGAGAGACUUAAGUCUUAUACAAUUUUUAAUUCUUUUAUGUAAAUAAUGCUAAUCUCCAUUAAAGACUGUUGCCAGACUCAAAAAUAUAUUUUCUUUAUAAUUUUUACCUCUUUUUUUGCUAUGUAGAAAAAGUGCCGAUUUUUAAAUAUUCAUUUUAUAUAAGUAGCCAAAUAAAAACUUUUCUUACUAGUUGUAACUGAUUUUUUUGUUUGUUUCUGGUAAUCGUUUUCUCUUGAAUUUUCUAUGUUGCCAUCUUUUAUUUUAAUAGAGAUCACUCGGUCUCCCCUUAUCCAGUAGCUCUUUCAUAUCCUGUUAUCUAAGAUUUCCUGGAAUACAGCAAACAGUAUUUCUCACAGCAAACAUCUUUACCUCGUUUCUGAUUUAAUAAAAAUGCUUCUAGGUUUUCAUUGUUAUGAGUGACAUUAUUCAUUGAUUUUCCUUAACUUGCAAGAAAAUUUAAAGUUUAACAAGAUGUUUUGAAUAACAUCAUAUAUCAUUUUGAGAUCUAGUGAGGUGAACAAUGGUUUCAAGAAACAAAUUUCUAAAUUAAAUUAUGCAUCCCUAGAAUAAACUUGCCUUUAUAUAUUCUAUUUAUAUAUACUGAUGAUUUUAUUAUUAUUUUAUUCUGAAUUUCCAUCUUUAUAGAGUUUUGUUGCUGUUUUCUCAAGUUUGGGUACCAUGAUUAUGUAACUCUGCAACACGAGACAGGCAUUUGUUUUUCCCAUAAUUUUUCUGGUCUUUUAAAAAGUUAAUAUGAGAAAUAACUCUACUUUAGUAUUUUCAAAUAAAUUAUAUGUUCUCAUUCAUGUGGGGAAUAUAAAUAAUAGUGAAAGGGAAUAUAAGGGAAGGGAGAAGAAAUGUGUGGGAAAUAUCAGAAAGGGAGACAGAACGUAAAGACUGCUAACUCUGGGAAACAAACUAGGGGUGGUAGAAGGGGAGGAGGGCGGGGAAUGGGAGUGAAUGGGUGACGGGCACUGGGGGUUAUUCUGUAUGUUGGUAAAUUGAACACCAAUAAAAAAUAAAUUAAAAAAAUAAAUAAACUACCUAUAAAACCAUGUAGUGCAAGGACCUUUUAAGAGAUAAUUUUUUGAUAUUUCAAAAAAUUUUUUGAAUUUUCAAGUUUUUAUUUUCAAUAUUCAUAAAUUUAAUCCUUGAGCUUUGAUAAUUACACUUUCCUAAGAAAAUCAUCCUCUGGGAUUUUAAAUGUACGUUAUCUGCCAUUUCAUUACUAUUCAAAGGAUCUGGUUAUUUUCACAUUUAUUACACAGAGUCCUAAGUCACAACUAAAGUUUACAUGAUCUUAAACAUAACUUUUUCAAAGAAGAUGCCACAUAAGUAUCAGAAGACUUUAUUUUCUGUAAUUUUACUGAAUUUCUUCCCUAGAUUCACUGGUGGAGCCUACAGUCUUCUAAAAACUAUUUAUGUAACAUUUUGAAUGCUCUAGGACUAUUUUUUCAAAUACUAAAUGAGCUAGAAGUUGCAAUUCAUAUAUAAUGGCAAUAUUGGAACCUUAACAUAUUUUAAAUUAAAAUGAUUUAUAUUCAUUUUAAAACCAAAUUCAAUUAAGAUGAAAUAACUGGGUAAUGUCACUUUUGUAAAAAUGCAUUAAAUCAUAUUCUUUCAUUAAAAUAUUUUAUACAUUUUGAAUACAAAGUGAAAAACAGAAGGAAAGAGAUAAUAAAAUAACAGCAGAAAUUAAUUAACUGAAAACAAAUAAUAUAGAAAAUCUUUGGAUAAAAAACAUAAUAGACAAAUGUCUAGAAUUUUUAAUUAAAAAUAGAAAACAAAAUAUUUAACAUUAUGAAUGUUAUUGGAGCUACGACUACUGAUAAGAUUAAAAACUUUGUAAAGCCCAUUAGGAUACACUUGGAAUCUUAAAUUGGAUGAGUUUCUUAAGAAAUUAUAAUUAUCAAAAUUCACUGAGAUUAAAUUGAUACAUACUUAAAAACAAAAAUUAAAAUACCAAAGAAUUACCUCUUAAAAUGUUAUCAAUGUGAUUGUAUAGGUGGCUUAUUUGAAAAUUCUCAAGUUCUAAGCUCUUAGUGCUCAUUUUUUGGAUGAAGAAAUAGAAGCCUAAAUAGUUAAAGGUAUUAACCAUUCAUUUAUCCAGAUAUAUUCAGAGUAGCUAAUGUAUUGGAUACCAUGUUGAUAUUAGGGCAGGGAGGGUGUGAAGGCUAAGAUGAAGAGCACAUGACUGUGGUAUUCUAGAUGAGUGCAAUGUAGGGAGUCUAGCAAAUUUAUAGGCAAAGUCCUAUGGGAAUACUUCUCACUGUUAGACAAAAUGAAGAGAAUCUGAAAUUGUUACUCAUUUGUUAAUUUGUGUGUUAUCGAUCUCCCAACAUUUUAGGGUGAGCUAUACAAAGAAAACUAGAGUCUCUUUCUCUACCCAAUGAGAAGAACAUGUUCUGGCAUGUGGCAACAGCUCAACGAAUGCUUGCUAAAUUAACACAUGAUGUGAUUGGUUGGACUUAAAGGCUACAUGGAGGCCAGUUGUACUACUGAGGUAGCCUUGAAGACUAAUAUUUCACCAAAACAAGCUGGGGCCAUAAGGACCUCAGGACUGAAAUGAUGAAGUAGGUGGUCACAUUGGAAUGGGAGAUCUUCCUGACUGCCAUAAUGUAAGGGGUGUAAGAAAGAAGGGGGUGGGGAGAGAAGCUAAAAGAGAAGGGGCCCUUUGUGACAGACCUGAGAGUAUUGAUUUUGCCCCCCUCCCCCCCCCACCCCAUCUAUUGGGGAAGAGUGAAGCAGAUGUAAAUUUGAGAAAAAUCACUUGGGUAGCUGUGGAGGGAAUGAAUCAGGGAGAGCUUAUAAGAUCAUACUGAUGGUCACCAGUGGAGCUGCAGUUGGAAGAUCUUUCCUACUAUACAUGGUCUCAUUUCAGAGAGGCACGCUUUGCAAUUUAAAUUGAAAAAUGAGAGACAGUCAUUCAUUUGGUCAAUUAAGGGCCCAGUUUUGUGGGAUUCCUGGAGGCUUAUCUAUCAUUUUGUUUAGAAAGGUAAAAGGAAACCACUGUAACUAAUAGGUGUCAAUGCUCAGAUCCCAGAUGUUCAGUGUCUUCAAAGAUAGAAGGCUUGUUAGCAGGAAGUAUGGAGGUCCCAGAUAGCAGGCUGAUCAGUCCUAUUGUCUCUGCAUGGCACUUUUGAGUUAAUUUAUUUUCAUCCUAUUUGGUUAAAAGAAAAUUGUACUUACUUUUGAGGGAAAAAAAAAAAGACAACAUAUAUAAACUAGUUUUUAACAGCUGAAAUUAUUUUUAUGUCUGGGUUUGUUUUGCAUGAGUUUGAGUGGAAAGACGAAGGGUAUCUUCUUAUACACACAAAAAAUGUAUAACAUACUGAAUUGAAGAGUGUCUUUAUAAGCCUCUGCUUUAAUUAGUUUUUAAUUUAUACCCACCCUCAUCUAAAAGGAUUUACAAAGCUUUAGAUGUCAAUUAGUUUGGGUAGCUAAAAAAUAAUCAAUAUUCAUUCAGUUUUCUAUUGCGGUUAUAAAUUUCUUCUGAGAACUUAUCAACAUCCAUAUAAAGCAGAAAAAUCUUACAAUAGGAAUCUCUAUAAAUCCUAUUUGGGUGUCUUCCAAACUUUUUCUCCUGUAGCCAGUUAAGAUUAACCCAAAUGGAGUAGCUGAGCUUCAUUUAACUUAGGAUUGCUGUUUUUUAAACUGGUAUUGCAGAAUUUCUUCAAGAAUUAAUAUACUGGGGUUUUUGGGGGUUUUUUUGUUUUGUUUUAAAAUAAGACCAUUGGAUUAUGUUCUCACACUAGUAACUUACGUGAGUGAAUCAUUUAAGGAUAUUUGAAAUCCUUAAAGGCUUGGACAAGAACAAAAUGGACAAGAACAAAAUUAAUUUUGAGGUUAUCAGUAAUAGACAUCAUCAAUUUCUUCUGCAUUCUGAAUUUUAUUGAAUCAGUGUAUUAAAAUGUACAAAUUAACUUCGAUAUCACAUUGCUUAAUAAUUAUCUAAUGUAUUUGUCUCCCUCACCAACAGAGCAUGAGGUCCUUGAGGGCAGAGGUUUCAAUGUUUUGCCUAGCUUUCAGUACAAUGUCUUGGGUACACUUGGUACUUAGUGUUUGUUGACAAAUAAUUUCAGACACAGGAAAUGAAGUAGCUCCCACUAUAUUUUAGAACUGGAGGAGGCGAUCAGAAUUAUCUAGUCUAAUUCCACUAUUCUACAGAGAAAGGAGUUCCUGCUCAGAGAAGUCAGGUGCUUUCUGAUGAGCACAAAGCUCCCUGGGUCUUCUGACUCAGAUUGCAAUCCUUAUGGGUUUACACAUUUUUCAGUUUCUGAGUAUUUUGUCCCUGAUGUCUAGAAAUAAGUUUCAGUAUGUGAGAUAGAUCGAUCGAUCUACCUAUCUGUGUCUACAUCUACCUCUCUAUAUCUAUCUCAACUCAAUCUCAUGUUUAGGUAUCAGCAAUCCAAAGUACAGAAGUAUAAAGAGAGUUGACCACCAAUUCAGCGGCAAAUGUGCUGCUUUUGAUAAUCACCAUUGUGUUUCUGUAGAAGACCAUAGCUUCUAAGUCACUCGCAAAAUUAUGGAGAUAACAGAAUGAGAGCUAUUUUUCACACACCUCUCAUAUAAUAUUACAACUUAAAAAUAAGGUUUUCCUUUGAAUGAAAACAAAGAUGAUACACGGAAAAUAAACAGGUGCCUGUGGCAGGGACUGCUAUUUACCAGAAGUAGUUUCCUCAGUGUUCCUACAGAAUGCAUCACAUUACCCAGUGUUCAUUUCCCAGCUUCUAGAUUAUUCCUAGACCAUUUUACCCUUCACUUUCACACUGGUCAUAGGUAACCAAUCAGCACCCUCUGAAAGGUGCACUGAGGUACGACCAUGGGGCUAGGUCUACCUGGCUAGAAGUGAUAGAGUGCUUCCAAGAUUCUCUAUAAAAUAAUUCCUUGCUGACCCAGUCUUAUUUGUUAUGAACACGUACAACCUCCAGGGCCAACUUCUAAGUCCUGUAUUGAGGCUGUCAGAAAUCUCAGCAGUGUUAGUCCUGAAUAACUGCAGAUCAGAGGCUGCUGGUUGACCUGAAAGGCCCUUGGGCUAUGUCACAGGGACUCUUAUUGUUCUCAACCUCCAGGAAUACCCGGGGGCAGGGCGGCCCUUUGUUACAGCAGCUAGCAUUACUUUUAUCUCAAAUUUCUGUGAUGGAGGAAAACACUUCAUUCCUGUUAGCUAGAAAACUUCUAACAUCUGGAAUCUUCAGAAGAAAGAUGGACACUUUCUUUCACUUUCUUCCCCAGAUAUAUACAUGCGUCCAUACCUAAGACAGUCUUCAUUAAGCAUUGCCACCAUGAGCUAGUUAAGGCCUCAUUGUGCCGCAUGCCAUGGGGCAGUGGUCUCAAACCUUAGUACACCUAAGUCACCUUGAAGGCUUAUGAAACCAAGUAAGUGGGACUACUGUGUCUUUCAUCGAGAGUUUUUCAUUUUAUUAGAUCUUAGGUAGAGCCUAGAAAUUUGUAACAGGUUCCCAGGUGAGAACCAUAGCCAUAGGCUUCUAGGGUAGUCCUAGAUCUAUUUUUACCCUUUACUUUUUCACACGCUGGUCAUAUAUAACCAAUUAGCACCUCUAGAAGUUGUACAACCUGCUUAGCAAUAUGUCUGAUGAUAUACUGAAGUGAAGACAACAGGAUCUCAAAGCAGCUGCUUAGCUAACAACAGGAUGCUUCUCACUGUCAAAAUUGUUGAAAAUAGCAUUUGUGUGCCAAUAGUCUAUCCUGAGGGAGGAAAAUUAGCUUACAGGUAUACGAAGUCCUCUUUGUGGAAUGAACGGUAAGGUGGAAAUUCAUUUGAAGAUGAGAAGAGUUAUUAAAAGGGAAAAAAAAGGGAUCCCCGGGUGGCUUAGUGGUUUAGCGCCUGCCUUUGGCCCAGGGUGAGAUCCUAGAGACCCGGGAUCGAGUCCCACGUCCGGCUCCCAGCAUGGAGCCUGCUUCUCCCUCCUCCUGUGUCUCUGCCUCUAUCAUAAAUAAAUAAAUCUUUAAAAAUAAAUAAAUGGGAAAAAAUAUUUGUAAAGCACAGUCUAGGAUGCUGAAGAACAAGGCAUCAUUAUUAAAGAUUUACUGGAGGGAUAAAUAGAAUCUCACCCUAGCAUGAGAGGAAGUGGCCAGCCAAUUCCCCAGCAGAGAAUCCAUCAAAAGUUGUUAAAAAAAAAAAAAAAAAAAAAAAAAAAA